UUUCACAGGCGAAAACAAAGGCCAGAAGAAUGUUUUCUUUAUCUCCCAACUUUGGCUGUUUGAACUGAAAUGGACCAGCGAAGACCCAGAGGGAGACAAAAAGAAAAGCGAAGGCGAAAGACGGACGACUGACCAGAAAGCCUCACCACCUAACCCGUGAGUGUGACCCGGAAGUGAAUUCGGAAUUGAUUGACAUGUAGUUCUUUCAAAUCAGAGCCUGGAUGCCAUAGCAACAGUACAGGAAGUCCCGGCGGUUUUAAAGUCGCGGUUCCGGUAUUCAGAACGCAAAGGACGAUGGGAAGCGUGAAUUUGUCUGUCUAGCUUUAGGCAAUUCGAUUCACUCUUCCAUGCUGCCGAGAUACCCCCGACAUCGCCCGCUCCACCAGGAUGGACCGCGGUGGCUUCCUUUGCUGGAAACAUCUGACUCCAUAAUGUGCCAGACCGUGGAGACCUGAGACACAUCGACUCGCUUCUCAGGUUUUGAGAUGCACAAUGAUGAGAAAUAAAAAUGAAAAGAUUUCCAGAAAGAAGCCAUCAGAUUCAAGGUUUCACAGUCCAAGCUAAUGUCCACGGAAAUGAUCUGAGAAAAUUGCAGUCCUGGCAAAAGAAGUGUAACUAGACUAAGGCAAGGUGGAGCAUGGAGGACUACUGGAUUAGAUGGAGAGAAUGUCCAGGCAACUCCAUGGCCCUACUGAUGUUCCAGAACUUCAUCAACUCAGUGAUAAGCUGCAUGUACACCUAGAGAAGCUGCCACGUACUCCUGCCGUGAUGUAUUAUGCCACUGCAGACACAAGCAGUGGGGUCAACUGACCAUGAACUGAAGGGGAAAGAAAGUCAAUCCUUCCUCUUACGCUGAUGGAGCUGUUUUGUCACAGUGACAACUGAAUUAACACACAAGGUCCGUCAUAGGAAUUCAACAGCAGCAGAACAGGGUGUCUCAGAAAUAGUCUCGGCUACGUUUUCUCACUGCCUCAGGCUCACUUCCUGGGAAAAUGGGAAUAUGAGCAUGUCCUGCUCAAACCAGUGGAAGGCAGACCUUCACUUGAAACUUUUUUAUCUGGUCUGUGACUCAGAUGAUAACUUUAUAGAUGUUUUGCUCUACUAUUGCUCCUGAUGUGAAGAAAUUUCAAGGAACCCUUGUUGUAACCUGGAUGUAUUUGCAGCUUGAUUUGCUGUUUGGGCAAUUCCUGCAAGUUAACUGUGUUAACUUCUUUCUCUCUUUCCAGAGCUUGGGCUCAAGCUCUGUGUCUCACAUCUGCCAGCAGGCAUUCUACUACUGCACUGAGCCACUUCCCUCGCCCAUGCUUAGUCUUGAAUAGCCACAAAAUAGUCCAUGGUAUGGCUAAAGAAACCUCCAUUUAAUUUAGAUAUUUUUGGCAUUUAAAUUAUUUGAUGUAGUUGAAUAUAUGAUUUUUUUUUCCUAAAGGAAUUCUAUGUGUCUCAACGUAAGACUCUUCAACCUUUAUGUUAUGCAUAAUUUCCUGUAGUUUUCAAAGUUGUUUUAA